CCCUCACAGUCAGUCAACUUCCGUCUCGCUCGGGGAAAGUGUGCGGGUCUCGAAUUGGUGGAUUUUGGUUGUGUUCCUCCCCUUACUUCGCUGUGGUCAGUGUAUUAUGUGAAGUACAGGCAGUGUGCAGUGCUAGAAACGUACCCAAUAUCGCCUGUGUCGUCACUAAUGAGUCAAAAUGGCCGAUCCCGAUAUUCCGAGCAACGAUGUAGACACCUUGAAGGCAGCGGGAGAAGAUGGAGGCCCUACAGACGGCAGCCCCCAAGAUGGCAACCCUAAAGAUGGUGCCUCCAAGGAUGGCACCUCGAAAGAUGGCAAGCCUCGGCCACCACCAGUUGAUAUUGCUGCAGCACAAAAUGCGGGUGGCGAGGGUGGUAUCAAGACGCCCACAGUCUCCGCCCAGACCCCACGAACCCCAGGCACCUCACGAUAUGAUACCUUUAGGGAUAAAGAGAGGAAGAUUGGCCACAGGAGAGUGGGAGAAGGAGGCAUCGUUACAUACAAAAAAAUUGGAACUUCACAACUUAUGGCAUCAAUCCAGCUGGGUAUCCAACAAGCAGUGGGGAGCCUGGCAGGCAAGCCUGAUCUGGAUGUUUUAAUCCAGGACUUUUAUGUUGUAGAAACUAUUUUUUUUCCUUCUGUGGGUUCUCAGUCAACACCAGCUCAUCAGUUUUCUGAGUUUAGAUUCAAAGUAUAUGCACCCAUAGCAUUUAGACAUUUUAGAGAUCUGUUUAAAAUUCAACCAGAAGACUAUCUUGUUUCACUGUGCAGCGAGCCUCUACGAGAACUAAGUAAUCCUGGGGCGAGUGGCAGCAUAUUUUAUUUAACAAAUGAUGAUGAGUUUAUCAUCAAGACAGUGCAGCACAAGGAGGCAGAGUUCCUUCAAAAGUUAUUGCCAGGAUAUUAUAUGAAUCUGAACCAGAAUCCUAGAACAUUAUUACCAAAGUUUUUCGGACUCUAUAAUUAUCAGUGUAAUGCCAAGAAUAUUAGGUUGAUAACAAUGAACAACUUACUUCCGUCAUCAAUAAAGAUGCAUCAGAAAUAUGAUCUAAAAGGUUCUACGUACAAAAGAAAGGCUAGUAAGUAUGAACGUAGCAAAGAAUCCCCAACAUUUAAGGACUUGGACUUCAUGGAGCACCAUCCAGAAGGUAUUCUGCUGGAAGCAGAAACCUACAAAGCUCUCGUAAAUACUAUUGCAAGAGACUGCAGAGUAUUAACAUCAUUCAAGAUUAUGGACUACUCUUUAUUGGUGGGCAUUCACAAUUUAGAUCUUGCAGCCAGAAAGAAGGCACAAGACAAAGAGAAAAAAUUAAAUGGCGGAGAUGGUGGGCCAGCAGAGGACGGGAGUGGAGAGUUUGAAGGAGAUGGCACUGGCCUGACCCGAUCCCGCUCCAUCAAUCGACACAAACUUGUAGCCCAUUCAACUGCCAUGGAAUCCAUUCAGGCAGAUUCUGACCCAAUAGACGAGGAAGACCAUGUCCCGCCCGGUGGCAUUCCAGCGAGAAAUGCAAAAGGAGAACGGCUCUUGCUUUUCCUUGGUAUCAUUGAUAUUCUACAGAGCUACCGCCUAAAGAAGAAAUUGGAGCAUACAUUCAAGUCAAUGAUUCAUGAUGGGGAUACGAUAUCAGUACAUCGACCAAACUUUUAUGCACAGAGGUUUCUGAAGUUUAUGGAAACCACGGUCUUCAAAAAGAUUCCAUCACCUUUGAGACACUCCCCAUCACGGCGGAGAGGUACUUCCAUGCGUAUCAUGCGCCCAACAUCCCAGGCUGAUCCUGAUCAUCCUGCAGAUGGUCACGACAGUCAUGAAGGCUCAUCAGUUCGCAGUAAGAAAGGUGCAAGUUUUCGAAGCAGAAGGGCAGUUGCCGGGAGAGUAGCAGGUGGUAGUGUUAGUGCUGAGGAGCAGCAAGGUGGAAGUGGUGCUGAGCCUGCCUCUGCACUAGCUGUGGGAGCAAGUGCUGGUGUCUCUUCUACUGCUCCAUCAUCUGUGAGUGGAACAGGCACAACUGGUGCAGCAGGAAUACAGGCAACAGCUGGGGGAGGAUCUGCUGCUGCAUCAGUGGUUGGAUCAGGCACACCUUCAACACCAGUAAACCUCCCAGCAGUGUUGCAGGACCGACCCCACUCUGGCCGUGGCCGUGUGCCUCCUCCCGUACCCCCGCGAUCGCCAAGGGGCGGCAUUGGCCAACCAUCCUCUGCCUCCUCUUCAUUCUCAUUAACUCGAGGUAGUGGCCGCGGUGUAGUGACUGUAAGCGCAGGAGGGGCUGGAGCAGCUCACCCCCCAGUAGGCUCCCACCCUCCACCUCCAGCCUCAGGUGUUGGGGCAACAGGCAGCACCGUUGUGACCACUUCCUCUCCACGAGUACAAGUACGGUCAUCCCAUACUCACGUCACGACAGUAGCCAUCCAGGAGGACAGAACUGAUGUUGUAAGAACUGGUCAAAAGUUGCGCUUUAAGGGCCUUGACGAAGACCCAAAAAGUGUCACAGAUCCUGUGCUUGUUAGCUAUAAGGCAAUAAAGUCCUCCAGUCUAAGGGUGUCCCACUACUCCAGUACGCAGUCUUAACACCACCCAGGAAUCCACAGACAACCUCAACUUCCAAGAAACAGAAAUGAAGCGGCUGCACAAGCGGCAGAGUUCGUAUACACACUUCACCCUGACUAUGGAAGUGCAUGAUGAGUCUUUGGAACGCACUUGUAAAAUGAGAACGUCGACAUGAUGAGUCAGCUGGGUCGUCCAUGUUUCUCUGCAGUGUUUCUGGUGACGCUAGUCAGAGUGAGGAACACCACCAGAGGAGAAGAGAAAUGGAGAAAAAGAGACAAGAAUUUUAAAAGAGAAGAAUUCCAGACAGAGAACAAGAGAUUUGUAUGACAUAGUGUUUUCUCUAUGUGAUCUAUCUUCCGUGGUUCAUUUUGAGAAAAGAGACAUUUUAUCCAUUUAAAAAAAAAAAAAAAAUGAAUUAGUAAAAAAAACAAUCAUAUUUGGAAGAGGCUUUUUUCUCGCAAUUCAUCGGCUGAACAAGCUGAGAGAAUACAAUACCAAAUACAUGUAAAUAUAUGUUGCAAUCAUAUCUUUUAUCAUUAUAUUUGUUAUUUGUUAAAUGAUAUGCUUCAUGUAGCAUAAACAUUGAAUCAUUGUUCUCUGUUACAUGGAGGUUCUGUGAUGAAUGUUGGGACUGACUAUCCUCUUUUCCUUUGGGAUUUGCACAUAGUGUAUAUCUAAAUCUGCCCACAUUCCCAAAUUCAGCCUUAAUUUUGAAUGCCCUGUUUUGAUUACUUUGGUAAUUCAGUAAAGCAUUUUACUGUAUUUUUCCAUAAGCUAUAUAUGAAAUGAGAUGAGAGUAAAAGAGUGUAAUGACGCCCAUAUAGAAUAUACAAUUGAGGCUUAGUUAUUGUUUUAAAAGUUGAUUGUUUAAUAUAUCAAUAAAAAUAAUGUGACAAGUCUUGUGAUGAUUUACAAGAUUAUUGAGACAGGAUACUCUCCAAUUAUCACCUUGCAAUGAAACAGGAAUUUGUAAAUUGUUGUACUUGUAAAGAUGGAGCGUAUUCAACAUCCUCUAUGAAUAUCCUUUGUUAAGGAGUCCAUGUUUUCCUAUACAAUUCAUGCUUUAAUCCACUGGGCCACUAAUUUUUGAAGCUGCUCAUGACAGUGUAAUACUCAGUAGGUAAAUAGUUAUGGAGAAUACAAAGCAAACAGAUAUUUGUAGUAUUUAUUUGUGAUUUUUUUUAAGGAUAGAUGAAUGUCAUGUGCAUUUCAUAAUUUUAGAUUUAAUAGAACAUGUUUAUUACUGAAUCAAUUAACAAAGAGUAAAAGUUUAAAUCCAAAUAAAGUACAUCCUUGCACGAGAUACAUGUUAAACAUCGAUCACAUUUAAAAUGACUAACAGAACAUAGGAAGUUCUGUGUUAAGAUGAAAUGGUGGCACUAGGUAUUACAUUAUGAAUGUAAUUUCUUCUACUAAAUGAGGUAAUAUAUAUCAUACAUCCACAUACACUACAACAAGCACCAAUUUAAGAAACAUGCUAAAAUCACAACAAGGUAAUUUGUUAUGAUCAGAAUACAUACUGUUUAGUUUCAAUAGUCUUUGUGCAAAUCUCAGAUAGUCCUGUAAUUUAGCUGAAUAUCACAUUUUAAUCGUAAAAUGUUAUGCCAGCAUUCUGAAAUCUUUAUUCAAACUAUGUAUAUUUGAACAUUGUAUAGUUUCAUCAAAUAAAUCAGAUGCACUUUGGUACAUA
rnacentral:misc_RNA from 1 species